GAUGAACGCUAGCUACAGGCUUAACACAUGCAAGUCGCGGGGUAACAUCUGGUAGAGCUUGCUCUUCCAGGAUGACGACCGGCGCACGGGUGAGUAACGCGUAUCCAACCUGGCCCAUACCACGGGAUAGCCCGUCGAAAGGCGGAUUAAUACCGUAUGCUGUCAUUAAGAGGCAUUUUUUGAUGACGAAAGGAUUGGCGGUAUGGGAUGGGGAUGCGUCUGAUUAGCUUGUUGGCGGGGUAACGGCCCACCAAGGCGACGAUCAGUAGGGGUUCUGAGAGGAAGGUCCCCCACAUUGGAACUGAGACACGGUCCAAACUCCUACGGGAGGCAGCAGUGAGGAAUAUUGGUCAAUGGGCGCAAGCCUGAACCAGCCAAGUAGCGUGAGGGAAGACUGCCCUACGGGUUGUAAACCUCUUUUGUUUGGGAAUAAAGUGCGGGACGCGUCCCGCAUUGCAUGUACCAUUUGAAUAAGGACCGGCUAAUUCCGUG
rnacentral:rRNA from 1 species